rnacentral:rRNA from 1 species
CAGUCGCCACGGUAAUACGAAGGGUGCAAGCGUUACUCGGAAUUACUGGGCGUAAAGCGUGCGUAGGUGGUGGUUUAAGUCCGUUGUGAAAGCCCUGGGCUCAACCUGGGGAUUGCAGUGGAUACUGGGUCACUAGAGUGUGGUAGAGGAUAGUGGAAUUUCCGGUGUAGCAGUGAAAUGCGUAGAGAUCGGAAGGAACAUCUGUGGCGAAGGCGACUAUCUGGGCCAACACUGACACUGAGGCACGAAAGCGUGGGGAGCAAACAGGAUUAGAUACCCGGGUAGUCCCUGUCUCUUAUAC